UAUAGAACCGUGACACGGUGGAGACCGACGUUAGAAAUGCAAUAAAAUUUAACAUUUAUGCUUGGAACAAUUUCCAGGCAUUUCACAAACACCAAGAAACAAAGUUAACCACAAGAAGCACUACUGCUUUAUGCCUUAGCCAUAGGAUCAUAGUUAACCACAAGAAGCAUUAAGGUUUCGACAUUUAAACAAAAAAAAAAA
rnacentral:lncRNA from 1 species